rnacentral:rRNA from 1 species
UGGGGAAUAUUGCACAAUGGGGGAAACCCUGAUGCAGCAACGCCGCGUGAGUGAUGACGGCCUUCGGGUUGUAAAGCUCUGUCUUCAGGGACGAUAAUGACGGUACCUGAGGAGGAAGCCACGGCUAACUACGUGCCAGCAGCCGCGGUAAUACGUAGGUGGCGAGCGUUGUCCGGAUUUACUGGGCGUAAAGGGAGCGUAGGCGGAUUUUUAAGUGAGAUGUGAAAUACCCGGGCUCAACUUGGGUGCUGCAUUUCAAACUGGAAGUCUAGAGUGCAGGAGAGGAGAAUGGAAUUCCUAGUGUAGCGGUGAAAUGCGUAGAGAUUAGGAAGAACACCAGUGGCGAAGGCGGCCUGCUGGGCUCUAACUGACGCUGAGGCUCGAAGGCAUGGGUAGCAAACA